rnacentral:tRNA from 1 species
GGGGCGGUAGCUCAAUUGGUAGAGCGCCACGUUCGCAACGUGGAGGUCGAGGGUUCGAUCCCCUUUCGCUCCA